rnacentral:rRNA from 1 species
GAUGAACGCUAGCGGCAGGCUUAAUACAUGCAAGUCGAGGGGCAGCAUGAUUGUAGCAAUACAAUUGAUGGCGACCGGCAAACGGGUGCGGAACACGUACACAACCUUCCAACAAGUGGGGGAUAGCCCAGAGAAAUUUGGAUUAAUACCCCGUAACAUAGCGAUGUGGCAUCACAUUGCUAUUAUAGAUUUUUCGCUUGUUGAUGGGUGUGCGGCUGAUUAGAUAGUUGGCGGGGUAACGGCCCACCAAGUCUACGAUCAGUAGCUGAUGUGAGAGCAUGACCAGCCACACGGGCACUGAGAAACGGGCCCGACUCCUACGGGAGGCAGCAGUAAGGAAUAUUGGACAAUGGACGCAAGUCUGAUCCAGCCAUGCCGCGUGAAGGAUUAAGGUCCUCUGGAUUGUAAACUUCUUUUAUAAGGGACGAAAAAAGGCUUUUCUAAGUCGUCUGACGGUACCUUAUGAAUAAGCACCGGCUAACUCCGUGCCAGCCGCCGCCGUAACAC